GGGCUUGACAUCCCACGAACCUGCCCGAAAGGGUCGGGUGCCCGCAAGGGAGCGUGGAGACAGGUGGUGCAUGGCUGUCGUCAGCUCGUGUCGUGAGAUGUUGGGUUAAGUCCCGCAACGAGCGCAACCCUCACCCCUUGUUGCCACCGGGUCAUGCCGAGCACUCUAGGGGAACUGCCAGCGUCAAGCUGGAGGAAGGCGGGGAUGACGUCAAGUCAUCAUGCCCCUUACGCCCUGGGCAACACACGUGCUACAAUGGCUGGUACAAAGGGACGCAAGACCGCGAGGUGGAGCUAAUCCCAAAAAACCAGUCUAAGUUCAGAUUGCAGUCUGCAACUCGACUGCAUGAAGGAGGAAUCGCUAGUAAUCGCGCAUCAGCACGGCGCGGUGAAUACGUUCCCGGGCCUUGUACACACCGCCCGUCACACCACGAAAGCCAGCUGUACUCGAAGUCGCUGAGA
rnacentral:rRNA from 1 species